CGCGCAGGCGGUCGUUCAAGUCGAGUGUGAAAGCCCCCGGCUCAACUGGGGAGGGUCACUCGAUACUGAUCGACUCGAAGGCAGGAGAGGGAAGCGGAAUUCCCGGUGUAGUGGUGAAAUGCGUAGAUAUCGGGAGGAACACCAGUGGCGAAGGCGGCUUUCUGGCCUGUUCUUGACGCUGAGGCGCGAAAGCUAGGGUAGCGAAAC
rnacentral:rRNA from 1 species